rnacentral:lncRNA from 1 species
AGCAUUCAAUCAAAGAGACGUGUUCAUGCAACAGCAGGCAUGUCCUUGAGCCAAGCAUCCAGUGGCUUGCCAAUGGAGUACACGAUAAAUCCAAUUUCCCUUAGCUCAGCUGGAUUGAUAAUGUUCCGACCAUCAAAAAUGAAGGCUGGUUUCUGCAUGUUGUCAUACAUCUUCUGGAAAUCGAGAGUUUUGAACUCGUCCCACUCAGUGAGAAUACAAACAGCAUGUGCAUCCUUAGUUGCUUCAUAGGCAUCCCAAACGAUACUAACUUGCUUCACUGUGGCGGGGCUCAUCGGCUGAAGAUGAAGGGGAUGAUCCCAAUCAAACUUUUUCAUGGAGAGGUCCCUCUGGAUCUGAUCCUCAGUAACCUGAGGAUCGUAAAUGCUCAAGCGGGCCUU